rnacentral:rRNA from 1 species
GACGAACCGUGCGAACGUUGCUCGGAAUCACUGGGCGUAAAGCGCACGUAGGCGGCUUUUUAAGUCAGGGGUGAAAUCCCGAGGCUCAACCUCGGAACUGCCUUUGAUACUGGGGAUCUCGAGUCCGGAAGAGGUUGGUGGAACUCCGAGUGUAGAGGUGAAAUUCGUAGAUAUUCGGAAGAACACCGGUGGCGAAGGCGGUUCUCUGGGCCUUACCUGACGCUGAGGAGCGAAAGCGUGGGGAGCGAACAGG